rnacentral:rRNA from 1 species
AUUGAACGCUGGCGGCAUGCCUUACACAUGCAAGUCGAACGGCAGCACGGACUUCGGUCUGGUGUCGAGUGGCGAACGGGUGAGUAAUGUAUCGGAACGUACCUUUCAGUUGGGGAUAACGUAGCGAAAGUUACGCUAAUACCGCAUAUUCUGUGAGCAGGAAAGCAGGGGAUCGAAAGACCUUGCGCUGAUUGAGCGGCCGAUAUCAGAUUAGCGAGUUGGUGGGGUAAAGGCCUACCAAGGCGACGAUCUGUAGCGGGUCUGAGAGGAUGAUCCGCCACACUGGAACUGAGACACGGUCCAGACUCCUACGGGAGGCAGCAGUGGGGAAUUUUGGACAAUGGGGGCAAGCCUGAUCCAGCCAUGCCGCGUGAGUGAAGAAGGCCUUCGGGUUGUAAAGCUCUUUCAGCCGGGAAGAAAUAGCAUAGGCUAAUACCCUGUGUGGAUGACGGUACCGGAAUAAGAAGCACCGGCUAACUACGUG